UUGUUUUAAUGUUUCUAAUAGUAUAGCUAAGUGCAAUAUACCUAUUGCGUUAUUAUUAAAUUAAUUGUGUCAUAGGUGUAGAAAAAAAGUUGUAUAAUGAUAUAAUAAUAAGUAUCCAUUAUCUUGUAAUUAUUUAAUGAACUAUACACAUAAAUGCAACUUCUAUAUUUUGGAGUGAUUUUGUAUUAAUUUAUGAAGUUACGUGAACCAUGCAGUAUUGAUUAAGGUUUUCAAAUACAGUACCUUAAAUGCAAACAUUAUGUUUAUCACAAUUGAAGCAAUAGGAAAUUGAAAGCAGACGCUCAGCCAUUAACCUAAAAAAAAUUUGCAUAAAUAACUAUUGAAAAAUAUACAUAUUAGAUGAAAAUUACUCUAUCUUUAUUUCCUUGAUAUUUAUUUAACAUUUAACAUUUUCAUGUAAAAUAUUUAGCCAUAAAAGUAACAAUUUAUAUAUCUGUUUAAUACUUGUAUAUUUCCUAAAUUCUUCUGUUCAGCAAAUGUUUCUAAUGAAAGUAUAUGCAUACAAAAUAACCAACUCUGAUAAGAAAACCCACAUCCGGUAUACUAGAAUUCACAAACUGCUUUACAAGCAGUAGAUAACGAGAUAAGAUUUGCAUUAUGCUAACAAAGUAUCCAUGUAAAUAAUUUUACAUUGAAACAAAAGAUAUAUUACUAACGUUAUUAGAAGUAUCAACAUUCCAUUGUUCUAAAUACACUUUGAUAAUGGUUAUGCACCUAUGACAUUUACGUCAUAGGUUUAAAAUAAGUAUGUACUGCAGAUGAUAUUACACAAUGACACUCUUGUGACAUUACUUGGUAGGUAGAAUGCAAUAGAAGAAACAUCUUAUGAUUUUGUUUGAUACCACAUUCACUUUUACGAGUAUACAUUUAUUGCCACGCUGGUCAAUAAUUUAAAUAACAGGAAAACUUUUAACAUUAUGGAAGCUGCGUUGAAAGUUAAAAGUUUUUAAACCGAAUUAAAAAUUUGAUAGCGGAAUAAAUAGACUAAAUCAAAGAAUCACUGUCCGGUGUGUUCCAACAAUAAUUGGCAUAAUCAGUCAUAUAUUCUUAGCGAUGAAAAACAAAAUUAAGAAUAAAUUUCAUACCCAUUCCUGUAAGGAAAUUGCAAACAAGUUCUUCCUUCAAAACAUAUCUAUCUGCGAACGCAAUUUAAAGAUUUCAAGGACAACUAAGGCAUAGAUCAUUACAAAGUCAAUUGCAAAAAUAUCUUCAACGAACACAUGUAUUAUGAAAUAUGCAUAUACAUAUGUAUAUUACGCACGUAAUCGAUUUUUAAUUACAAUGCAUAUAAGUGCAAUAUAAAGAUCAAUUGCGUAGUCUAUUAUUAAAGCUUCAUUAUCAUUAGAUGAUAACAUUCUUAAAAAUUAGAGCAAUUAUAUAUGGUAAAAUUGUAAAAUACAAUAAAUAUAUUAUUGCUACCAUAAUCUUUUUAUUGAGAGGAAGAAGCAAGAAACAUAUUUCAAAAGCGAAAGGAAUUAAUUUUAAAAUAAAGAAUAAAAUGUCAAAAAUAAUAGUAUUGAUCCACAUUAAGAUAGUAAUUUGAAUUUCCCCUUCUUGUUGUAAAAAUUGUUUUAAGAUGAGAUACUAAAAAAUAUUUAUACUAAUUGCUUUUAUUUCCACAAAGUUCCAAUAUUUCAAGGUUUUUAUACAAAAUAUAUAAUUUAAAAAAUAUAUAUAACCAUCACGGAAAUGUUAUGACACUCUUACCUUCGUCUAUAUUAAAUAAUUAAUACUUAUAGUAGGUGUAAAUUUAAUUUUAGUAUUCACUUUUGAGUUCAAUUUAAGUACUCACUGGUAUAUUUCUUUUUUUUUCAAACGUAUACUUUUUAUUAUCAUUCGUAAAAAUAUACCACGAUACAUCAAUCAUGUUGGAUUUUACUUGAGUUUAAUUUAAAAAAUAACUCAUUAUUUUGUGUUAGUUAUCUUUGAAAAUAAAAAUAAAAUCAAUGUCUAUGCUAUAUGUUACAUCUAUAUGAAUUGAUCAAGAGAAGUAUGUUAUUUUUCUUAAUCCGCUUCAAGUUGAAAUUUGAAACCUUCCAAACUUUCGUAAUCAAUGUUAUUUUUAAGGUAAAUAUUCAUAAACUUAAAUGUCAUUCAUAGUAUAACAUGAGCAACUAUAAUAUGUUUUUCUGUAAUAGAAUUAAACCAUUUUAAUUAUCAAAUUAAUUACGUAUAAGAAGUUUAGAAUAAACUAUAUUUAAUAAUCACUGGUUGUGUAAUAACUUAUAUAUUAGGAAGAAAGAAGAGACCUUCAUUUAAAAUGUGUUACAUAAAGAAAAUGGUCCUUGAGAACAGAGAGUUAACAAUAUGAGAUCAUUGACGUACGUAUACAUAUAGACUUACAAACUUCAAUCAUUGUCAUGCACGAAUUGAUGACCUCAGUGGCUCAUAAUCGCGUGGAAGUUAUAUAUAUAUGUACAUAUGUUAAAUUAUAAUUUUUAAUUGAGGUCCUUAAUAGCUCUCUAAUGGGUUUCAUUAAAAAUUAAUAAAUACUUAGCAGUCUAUUGUUUUGUACUUGAUAUAUCACACACCUUGUAAAGAAUCAUAUCUAUUCUUAACCUAUAAGUGUGACUCACUUUCGUUUAUUAUUUCUCUGCCUCCAUAUGCUCCACAAAUGGUUCGUAGUUGUUAAUCAAUUACACUUCUUUCAGUGACUUAACUUGAACUACGCAUAGUAUUGCGUAGGUGGUUAAAGAAAAAAGAUUCUAUUUCGUCAAACUUGAAAAGCAACUACAGAGUUUUCCAAGGAUAGAAACGAAAGUUCGCUAUAAAAACUAGUAUUCCAUACUAGUUGCAUAGUGCAAACGAGUUCUGUGCUUUAUUGGCUGGAUAUAAAUCAAUAAACACUAUCUUUUGACAGAACAACGUUUUAUUAUUCAAAGAUAAACGUACUUCUAAAAGUUCUGGUCGCAGUUCCACCACAGUUUCGCAGUAACGGAGAUUUUUUCCUGGGAUGUCUGUAGGUUUGGCGCAUAAAAUAGUGAAUCGCGCGUUAAAGCAAAUAUUGAAUUUAUUUGUCGAUUUGCGUAGUCAUAAAAUAUAUCGAUCGAUAUUAACAACAUUGACAGAUUUUCUUAACAAUUGCAUAAGAAUAAAUCGAGGAGGGGAUGAAAUCGGAUGUAAAUUAGUGAUCGUAGAUACCUGAAGCGCGCGCGAUAUUAUAUGCUUCAAUAGGAGUAAUUUUUAAGAAAUAAAUGUAAAAUAUAAUGUUAUACCAAUUUCAAUAUGCUUUUCAGUUCUUCAGAUAGAAUGAAAUUUAAUAAAUUUCAGAUCGAACUAAUCCAUAACGAAAACAUAGGAGGCAGUACGAUUAUUUAUGUUCGUACAAAAAUAGUUAAUAUUCACCGGUGUUAGAUUGUCCUUAUCCGCAAAAAAAUCGAUACUGUAAGAAUAGAGAUAUAGACAGGGAAAUGGAGAGAGAAAGGGGUAAAAACAGAGGAAGAAACAGACAAGUUAAAAUAAAGUAACAAAAGACAGUUUGACAAUGAAGGAAUGUUUUGAACAUAGCACCACGUUAUAUCCUUAUCACUAUUCACGUACAAGCUAAAAAACCGUAUUUACUAUGGCAGGUAUUCGUACACGCGUGCACAUGUAACCCGUAACUCCAAAGGUAAGUGAACUGAAGAAGGGGGAGAAGAGAACGUUGAGAGGAUAUAUCUGGAAUGGAUCACCAGCGACGUGUUGCGACAAAUUAC